rnacentral:rRNA from 1 species
UACGGAGGAUGCGAGCGUUAUCCGGAUUUAUUGGGUUUAAAGGGUGCGUAGGCGGUAUUUUAAGUUGGUGGUAAAACGUCGGGGCUUCACCUUGAUUGGCCAUUAAAACUGGAGUACUAGAGUACAGACGAGGUAGGCGGAAUAAGUUAAGUAGCGGUGAAAUGCUUAGAUAUAACUUAGAACCCCGAUAGCGAAGGCAGCUUACCAGACUGUUACUGACGCUGAAGCACGAGAGCGUGGGUAGCGAACAGG